GGAGGGAUGGCCGAGUGGCUUAAGGCGCACGCCUGGAAAGUGUGUAUACGGCAAAACCGUAUCGUGGGUUCGAAUCCCACUCCCUCCGCCA
rnacentral:tRNA from 1 species